AUUGAACGCUGGCGGCAGGCCUAACACAUGCAAGUCGAGCGAGCGGCGGACAGGUGAGUAAUGUAUGGGGGCUGCCCGUUAGAGUGGGCUAACUAAUGUAAACGGUAGCUAAUACCGCAUAAUAUCCUAUAACCCAUAUGGGAUUAGCUAGUAGGUGAGGUAAUAGCUCACCUAUGCGACGCUCCCUAGCUGGUCUGAGAGGAUUAUCAAACACACUGGGACUGAGACACGGCCCAGACUACUACGGAGGCAGCAGUGGGGAAUAUUGCACAAUGGGCGCAAGCCUGAUGCAGCCAUGCCGCGUGUAUGAAGAAGGCCCUAGGGUUGUAAAGUACUUUCAGUCGGGAGGCGUUACCGACAGAAGAAGCACCGGCUAACUCCGUGCCAGCAGCCGCGGUAAUUC
rnacentral:rRNA from 1 species